rnacentral:rRNA from 1 species
AGGGCACUACCAGGAGUGGAUCCUGCGGCUCAAUUUGACUCAACACGGGAAAGCUCACCUGGUCCGGACACUGGAAGGAUUGACAGAUUAAGAGCUCUUUCUUGAUUCAGUGGGUGGUGGUGCAUGGCCGUUCUUAGUUGGUGGAGCGAUUUGUCUGGUUAAUUCCGAUAACGAACGAGACUCUAGCCUACUAAAUAGGUGUUCCGAUCCCAUCAGUCGGACGCUCUUCUUAGAGGGACAAGCGGCGUUUAGCCGCACGAGACAGAGCAAUAACAGGUCUGUGAUGCCCUUAGAUGUCCGGGGCCGCACGCGCGCUACACUGAAGGAACCAGCGUGUGUCCCUGUCCGGCAGGACUGGGUAAUCCGCUGAACCUCCUUCGUGAUAGGGAUAGGGGCUUGUAAUUGUUCCCCUUGAACGAGGAAUUCCCAGUAAGCGUGAAUCAUCAGUUCACGUUGAUUACGUCCCUGGCCUUUGUACACACCGCCCGUCGCUACUACUGAUUGGGAUGAUUUAGUGAG